ACACUCAAGAGCCCUUCAACCACAUCAACAUAUAAAAUACACAGAAGCUUCUCAUGAUAUUGCUUGAAGUCCAAGGGAUCUAAUACAAAAGAUGAUAGCUUCCUUAACUCUUUCAAAUCUAGACAUCUGAAAUUGUACUUCUUAGUGUUCCUUCGUCCAUAAUCCAUGGUCUGAAAAUAUUUGCAAACAAGACCUCAGUUCCUUGAAGUUAUUUUUUCGUGUGAUGAAUGUUAUGAUGCGCAUGAAUGCAUGAAUGCAACAAUCACA
rnacentral:lncRNA from 1 species